rnacentral:tRNA from 1 species
GGUCUUGUAGCUCAGCUGGGAGAGCACCACCUCGACAAGGUGGGGGUCAUGGGUUCGAGCCCCUUCGGGACCAUCA